GUGGGCGCGAGGUUGCCGGGGGGGGGAUGAGGAGGUGCGUACCGCAUGGGGGAGGGGACAGUCUCGGGUGAGAUCACCACGGAGCGGCUUAGCGCGGCGCACAAGUCUCGCGAGAGAAGCGGCGGCUGGGCCCUGCAGGCGGAGGAAGUGGAAAAAGUCGCGGGAGGGUAGGGGACCGCGGAACUUCUGGUUGCUAUGACGACGGCAAAGCCCUGGAUUCCUGUCUCCUGCGGAGAGCAGAGGCUGCAAACAAAUGAAAAGAGGCUUGCUCAUGACUUGGAAGCGGUGGGCUGAGGCCUCCCAAGACCAUCUGGCUUGUUCCAUUGCCAGCCAGAGUGGAGGCGACAUUCACACGAACCCAGGAGCUGCAGGGGCGCGUGAGCUACAGCUGCCUUGUGGCAUCCAAGGAGUGCGCAACUAGUCUCACUCUGUUGCCCAGGCUGGAGUGCAGUGGCGCGAUCUCAGCUUACUUCAGCCUCCGCCUCCCGGUUUCAAGUGAAUUCUCCAGCCUCAACUUCACAAGUAGCUGGGAUUACAGGGCAUUCAAGCAGCCCUGAGGAGAGGUCCACAUGGUGAGCCACUGAGGGCCUUGCCAAGAGCCAGCACCAACGGUCCAGGUUUGGAGUGUACCACCUUGGAAGUGAAUCUUCCAGUCCAGUCAAGCCUUCAGAUGACUUCAGAACCGUCCAUGUAAGCCACUCUUGGAUUCCUGACCCACAGAAACUGUUGGAGACAGACAAACAUGUGCCUCCUGAUUGAAAAAACAGAACAUCACCUGUAGUCUUGCCAGUGAGAUCAAACUGAAGUCCAAUUAACCUCUGGAUCCAGCUGCCAAUUUGCAGGAAAUAGAGGAGAGAAGCAUCUGUUGAACUGCACCAUGAGUAUACACUCAGCAAAGGCCAAACUGUGGAAAAUGAUACAGGUCAAACAGCCUGGAUUCUUUAACAGUGAUGUUUCUGAAGCACCAAUGAAAAUGAAGUCCUGAAGUCCUGUGCUCAAUAUGAAAUGUUGGAAGUUAGAAGAAAAAAACAAAACUUGGAUCCAAUCUCAAGGCACUUUUUGUUUAAUGGGAAGAAGUGGAUUAUUUUAAAAGCUACAAAUAAAGUUACAUAAAAGUAGCAAA
rnacentral:lncRNA from 10 species